GGCUGUUGUCUCGGCAACCGGGUGUCCACAUUCCCGGUGCCGCCGAGGGCCGGGGCGGAACGGGCAGGUACGGGCAGGAACGGGCGGACACAGACCGCACACCGCCCCUGAGCAGGGUCGGGGACCUCCCCGGUGCCCCCCGCGCCGCCUCAGCAGCUCAGGUACCCACCCGUCGUUCCCAGCGCGCCCCGCGCGGCCUCACCUGGGCGGGGCUGGGGCGUGAGGCGACUUCCGGUGGCGCCUCCAGGUGAAGCCUGAGGCGAGGCCCCGGAGGGCGCCGCCUCAGGGCCUCACCUCAUCCCUCACCUGGGCUCCCCGAGCCAUCGCCCCGAGCGCCGGGUUCUCUCUCUGGAGACAGCAGAGGCCAUGGCUGAGCUGGGCCAGCUCUGCAGCCUCGGCCCUGCUGCGCGUUCGGAGCCGGGACCGAGCUUAGAAACAAAAUCCCGGCUCUGGCCUGAGUGGUGACGCUGGACGUGUGGGCUGUGACCGGAUCCCGCCUUUCCAGCUCAGGGAUACACGAGGUUUCAAGAUUUCCUUAUAAACACCACAGGAAAGGGAUCUCAAACUGGGGGAAAAAAAAGAGAUUUCAGUCUCAAUGAAAGAGAUUUCAUUAUAACCAGGUCAUCCCAACAUGGAUUCCCUCACCAAGGGAAUAACAACAUCUUCCUUCCAGUCAAACACUUCCCACCUAACAAGGAACAAGGAAUUUAUGCCAGGUUUGUUCCAGAAUCUGCAGCCUCAGCCACACAAACCCACCAGGGAAGCAAAGAAAACUCCUUCCAGCCUGCAGAGCCACACCACACACCGAGCUCCUCAGCUGCCUGCCUGAUGAUGCAAGCAGUGAAUAAGCACGAAUAAAGACACAGAAACUGGGUGUUGUUUGUAGAAGUGAGGAGCAGAGCCCUCCACCCAGCACUGGGGAUACCAGAGCUCUUGCACAACUCAGCUCUCAGCCUGCUGCUCCUCUUCAUGCAUCUCUGUCUCUGUGGGCACUUUUUCACCAGGAGCACUGGGGAAGUUUUCCUUCCUCCCCAGCUGGGAUGCCAGAGUGGGAUUCCUGCGUCAGGAUUUCCCUCAGACUCUGCACACCAUGAGCAGGCCUGUGCUGGCCUGCCAGGGCUGGCUCACGGGCAGCUAAUUAGUGGUACUGAGUUCUAAGAAUUGGAAGAUGAUCAUUAACUAAAAUUGGUUUGAAAGCUUCCAGUUUUG